CUCCUACGGGAGGCAGCAGUAAGGAAUAUUGGACAAUGGGGGAAACCCUGAUCCAGCGACGCCGCGUGUGUGAAGAAGGCCUGCGGGUUGUAAAGCACUUUUUAGUGGGGACAAAAAGCUACGGAUUAAUACUCUGUGGUCUUGAUUUAACCCAAAGAAAAACGCACCGGCUAACUCUGUGCCAGCAGCCGCGGUAAUAC
rnacentral:rRNA from 1 species